UACAAAGAGAGGCACCGCUCAGCGCUCACGUCCUGGUGCUAGGGUUUCUCUGGCAGCGGCUCAGGUUCUCACAUCGAUGGGGUUGCGCCCAGAAGCCUCAAUCAAUUCUCCGAUGAGUUGUGUGCUGAUAAGAGAGAUCCCCACGAUGUUGUUGACGAUGUGAUAAAUAGCGACGAUCCAGUCCAGCCUCUCCUUAAUCCCUUUAUAUCUACUUUUCAUGUCAUACUAGAUCCAUCCAACUCUGUAACCCAUCUUAAAAAAGGGCGGCCAAGCCAAUCGAGUCUCUCUCCUAAUCUCUUUCUUUUUUAACCUUCUAAGUGCCUCAGAUUUUAGGUUCUGACCAUGCAUCAAUCGAGCUUCUAUUUUCGGUCAAGUAAUGAAUUAUUCUCAUGAUGGUAGAUGUACCUGAGGAUGGGGUGCAUGUAUUUGCUGGACUCAAACCGAUCUCACAGCCGCCGAGGAAGUGCAGGCUGCCACGGAUUGGUGGUGCAAUGAUUUCUGCUCCAUUCAACUGUUAAAUUCAUCACUAAACCAGGACGAUUGGAGUGGCCUUUUCGGUUGCUUGGAAGGAAGCUCAGUCACCUAACCACAAGAUUUGAAAUUUCAGGUGCGUGUACGUAUUCAGUCAGACAUGUUAUCAGGCAUGAAUAUUGUUAGCUAAAUUAUCGUAGCUAGCUCCCCCAGAACCAAUGUAGAAGAUCAGAUAACAACUAUGUGUCGCUGCUAUAAUCGAAGUCUUGAAUAGAGGAAGACAAAAGAAGUUGCAGCAUAUACAUGCAGUGCAAUCUACAAACACACGCACAUACAUUAGCACUGGAGUAGCUCACGUACACUACAAGUUUGAAGCUGAUUGCUUGGAGUUACAAAGAAAUAGUGCAUGCACAUACAACCGACCAUAUGGAGCUGCACAAAAUGUGCACAACUAGCUUCACUCCUAGCCUAAAAGCUAUCUGUAGUAACCACGGCAGUUUGUUCCUCUCAACUUCCUGCCUUACAAGGAACUUGCUGCCACUUCUCUACAAAAACCAUGCCUACAUACUAGAUAUUUAUCGGCAUUCAGUUCACUGGUACUGGUAAGUUGCACUUUCCAACAUGCAGUAAUCAAAACAUUUUCUUCAGAUUAAUAAAAUUGAUUGGCAUAUGAGAUCUGUAGUGCGUGAUACUCAUGAUUUUUCCCUUGCACUUUACAAAAGUAUAUGUGGUUUGCCAAGAUUGUUUUUGUAAAUGCAGGAUGUUGAAAGAGUAAACACACCUACAUUAUAAGAAAAUUUGUGCAGUAAAGAUCCCUGUAAUUCUCCGUAAAAAAGAUAUUCUUCAAAUUACAAUGCUUGAUAUCUACAUUUUGCUGGAUAGGGUCCUACCAGGACAACUUUCAAGCACCAUCAAUUGCAUUAUGUUUUGUUUUCGGACAUUUUUUGCUGAUUCCGAAUAUUUUAUUUGGAAAAGGGGGCUGUACAUGCUUUACAAAUUAAGGGUGAAUAAAUUUCUCCAUAAGGUCCGUUACAGACUCCUGUUUUUAUAAGUGGGACCCCAGCUAUCAUAGUUAACGUAAUCAUGGUUGUCAUGAUGUUUAAUGAUCCUUAGGAACUAGAUCCUUCUCUAGGCAUGAAAUACGUUAACCCACCCCUUAUUUGACGAUUUACACCUUCAACUGACCAGUUAUUUCCACCUAGCCAACGAUGUUGCUUGGCUUAGCAUGCAAGAACUGAGGAUGAUAUAUUAAUUUCUUAAAGGUGAAUGCUAACAUAUAGAUAAUUAUUACUUACAUAUUACUAUUUGAUUUUAUCAGGGAUUAUUGGUUAUGAAGCAUGCCUUUCGAGUAUAAUAAUGAUCAGUUGUAACAUACGUUUCCCAUUUUAGUCUUUGUUUUUCCUUCAGAGUAUACCUAUCCAGAAGAAUGAUGCUUACAAAUUUUGCUUUUAGUGUUUCUGGAAUGCCAUUCUAUUUCUGUAAGAUACAAUACCACGUAACAUGGUGAAAUAUCAUCAUCAUGUCCACCAAAAUUUGUCCUUUUCUUACUGAUUUAUCUGCCAUGACAAACUGCGGGCACAGACUGUAAUCAUACAGCGAUAGGACAUAGUAAUGCAGACAAAUUAAAGGAGUACUGGAAUGAUUGUUGCUAUUGUAUUUCUGGUAUAUAAUAUACUACAGUACAGGAAGUUGUUGUAGUAGAGGAAAAUAAAGAUUUAUUAAUCAGAUUCAAUGGUCAUGUUUUCGGCAACCUGGAAUCAAACAAUAAAAAACAAAUAUUAUACUUUUCACGUUAUCGAUUCUUUGUGUUAAUAGAUACAAGAACGAUGCUAUACACAUGGCAAUUCCUGAAUGAUUUUCGGAUGAUGUAGCACAUCAAGCCAUCUAUGCGUACUGCAAACCUGGACAGCACCGGCUGUCCAAUCCUCCGUCAUGCAAAGUUCACUUCACAACUGUCAUCUGCGUAGUAGUUUCGUAGAUACAACACUGCACUUUCUUUUUGUGGUUGUACAACCUGCAUAUUGGCCAUGGACUAGCUUGCGACCUGAAGUCUGGCUAUGUGCACUAACUGCUCAUGCACAUGAGCAGAACACAAUUUUAGUUCUAGACAUGAAAUGUUAAAUUAUGACUUAUUAAAAUAUUUAUGUGUACUAAUUUACUAUCAGGCAACAGCAAACCAUUUAAUUAUCACACAAACUUAUAUUCCUCAUGUUAUGACAUAGGCAACUGUCACUCUAGAACAUAUGAUGUGUCAUAAAGAAAAAUCUAUUCUGGCAUGAUAAGUGGAAUACAACACCUCUUAAGCUACAAUACCCUAACCUUUUCUCUUUUUCCCUUAACAGUUUGUCCUCGGUUCAGCAAGUUUCUGAGACUAAUAAUCUCCAAGAGAUCUUUCACAAGCCACUCUCUACCCAAGCUUUUGGCCAGUUCCAACAAGUUCAAUUAACAUUAGCUCACAUCACUCUCACGCCUAGCUAGCUAGGAUAUAUGGAGCUACUAUUGAAAUUCUGCAACCUUUUCUACUGCCAAACUUUACAGAGUUCUAAUUCAAGGGGAGAGGGCACACCCCAUAUUUAAGAAGAUUUGGAAAUCAGCAGUGUUUAAGAGAUACCAAAUUUUCUGUUGGUUUCUGAUCCAAGAUAGGCUCAACACAAGAAGUUUGCUUCUUAGGAAAUCAUUUCACCUGCCCUCCUACCAAUGUGCGCUAUGUAAUGAGCAAAUUGAGACCACAUUGCACCUCCUUUUGGACUGCUCAUUUGCUCUAGAAUGCUGGCACCUGAUCACCCCUAAUAAGAAGAGGGACACAUCUGUCAUUCAGGAAAUUAUGCUGGCUGUGAAUGAAUUACCAAACGGAGUGGGCAUGAACAUGUCAUUAUGAGUUGCUGGCAUAUUUCGAUGCAAAGGAACAACAAGAUCUUUAAGCAUAUAUAUCCAAUCACCACAUCAUGGAAGCUGCUACACAAGAAAUAUUUAUAGUUGCUACAUCAUGGAACUAAGCACUAGCUCCUUCAAGUUUUUCAAGACUGGAUUGCCACACGUUUGUAGUCUAAAAGAUCCUUGAGUAAGACAUGUUUCCAAGAGCAGGCAUUGGUUAGAUGGGCUUGGCGAUCUCCUUUUCUUUUUAUCCCUUUUGUACAUACAUUUUUAAUUGAUUUCAAUGAAAAUUACCAUCGAACAA